rnacentral:piRNA from 1 species
UGAAAGAAAAAGAAGUUGAACUUCAAA